UGGAAGAUAUAAAAAUGGUCAGAAUAGUGUCUAAUGGCGGACUAUCGAUUGGCAGUACUGAAACAUCCUGUUCAUCUACCGCAGUGCUUACUUGAAGUUCCAUUUGAGUCAUGAACGCCGAUGUUAUUUUGUUUCUGGCAGAAGCCCGUCCUUGGAAAACCCAAAUUCAAUUCAGGAUCGCGACUUUAUUAGAAGAAUGAAGGCUAUCACUGUGUACCAAUGCGCCCAAACGCAUAUAUACCUAACCCGACAAAGCGGCAGUUCUUACAUUGCAGAACGUGUUACAAAAAUCUUACAAAACACUGCAUCGCCGGAACUGUGUAACAUGGUCUACAACACAACAGCACGGGCAAACACGCCAUGUGCUACUGCCGUGAGUACCGUGUGCAACUGCACAAUGUACCAAAAGCACUGAAAUCCUAUAAGAGGUGAUAUUUUCGGUAAUAUUCGUAACACUUCGUCACUGAACUAAUAUCACGAAGGAAGAACACUACAAGAAUGGCCUGGCUGAGUUUCAAGAGACAAAAGGAGACCAGCAUCACCUCUAAAGAUGAUAAGAAGAAGAAGCCUUGUGCAAUGUGUAAGGUGCAUGGCUGCUGCAAAACCUGCAAAGUGGAGUGCAAGCAUCGACGUAUAGUAGUGGUUCAUCUUCCACUUUUCAACUACUAUACUGACACUAUGCACUAAUGGAGAAAUCAGUAAUGCAAACCAGAAAGAAGACAAUAAAAUCAUCAUUACAGCAUCCUGAUAUUGCAUUGAAGUUAGAAGCAUGGCACAGCCUUGAGACUACAAAUGUUCAGGUCACGUUGGUCGGGUACUGACAAAGUUGGGUAACGGUUACUAAUCCCAUUAAAAUAAAUGACUGGAAAGGGGGGGGGGGAAAUUUAAUGAUCAUGAUAUGAUGAGAUUUCAAGAUGUGAUAAUUUUAAAGAGAUGAAAAGUAAAGACAUGCAUUCAGUGGAAUGAAAAAAUAUAAACUGAUGUUUAUACACUUCCUGUGGACUCAUGUCCUUUUCUUUACAAGCAUGGUGAAUGUGUUACAUGCAUGAAGUACACAGUAAAGGGGAGGAAAAUAGAUCAA